rnacentral:rRNA from 1 species
CCUACGGGGGGCAGCAGUGAGGAAUAUUGGUCAAUGGACGGAAGUCUGAACCAGCCAUGCCGCGUGCAGGAAGACGGCUCUAUGAGUUGUAAACUGCUUUUGUACAAGGGUAAACCUGAAUACGUGUAUUCAGCUGAAAGUACUGUACGAAUAAGGAUCGGCUAACUCCGUGCCAGCAGCCGCGGUAAUACGGAGGAUGCGAGCGUUAUCCGGAUUUAUUGGGUUUAAAGGGUGCGUAGGCGGACAGUCAAGUCAGCGGUAAAAAUGCGGUGCUCAACGCCGUACGGUCGUUGAAACUGGGGGCCUUGAGUGGGCGAGAAGAAGGCGGAAUGCGUGGUGUAGCGGUGAAAUGCAUAGAUAUCACGCAGAACCCCGAUUGCGAAGGCAGCCUUCCGGCGCCCGACUGACGCUGAGGCACGAAAGUGCGGGGAUCGAACAGGAUUAGAUACCCCUGUAGUC